GUCGAUAACGCGACGUUACAAAUGUCACAUUUAUUCUGUACUUCGUCGGUGAUAUAAUCACUCACGAAUUAUCUAUGAUAAUUCCUAUGUUCCCGUAGGAAAUCAUAAAGGGCAUAACAAACACUAAUUUUUUGGCAGGUCAAUAUUUCAUAACGUGGGACACAAAGUUCCAUUUAAUGUCACGUCUAUUCUGUCUUUCGUCAAUGCUAUCAUGACACCACUAUAGCUGUCUGCUAUACUCUGAAAUAAUUUCAGAGGUUUUAAUUAAAUACAAACUGUGAUUUUCUAAUUGAAGUUGUACGAAUAAAAAGGGUUGCAAAAAUGGUAGUGGGUGUUUUCCCAGCUCUCAAAUUGGGAGUUUUAUUUGUUAAACAAAUUAGUAAGCCCUUGGCCAAGUUUCUUGUUAAUCAAGCAAAAAAUCAUCCUGUGUUUAGGACAUAUUUUAUUAUACCACCUGCACAAUUUUACCAUUGGGCAGAGGUAAAAGCUAAAAUGUAUAUAAUGAAUCUUGGUAAGCCUACAAAAGUUGCAAAGUUGAAUGAAACUAUGGCUAUAGAAUUAGGAGCUAAUUUGAUGGGUGAGGUUAUUAUCUUUAGUGUUGCUGGUGGUUGUUUAAUAUUAGAAUAUAAUCGCCAAGUAGCAAAAGAAGCAAAAAAAGAGGAAGCACGGCUUCAACAAUUACAAACAUUUACGGAUGAGAUUAGAAAUUUGAAUCAAGUGACAUCUCAACAAGAAAGACAGAUUCAAUAUUUGCAUGAAGCUAUUCAGGAAUUAGCAAAGCAUACAAAGUAUGAAAUAAUUGCAAAGCCAAGAGUAAAAGAAACAAAUUUACAAAUGCAACAAUUAAAUGUUGAUGAAAGCCAAAAUGGUGUGAAAUCAAAAAAUGAGAAACCAUCAAUAAUUGAACGUGCUAUAUUAUAUUAUGAAAAUAACGUAAAACCAGAAAAAUUCAGUUAACUGAAAUUUUACUUUAAAUUUUAUUAAUGAUUGUGAUAGAAUAGGUACAACAUAAAUAAUAUUAAAUGAAACAAAUGAAUUCAUAAUAUUAUAGUGUAUAUAAGAAAUAUUUCCCACAAUAUAUACUUGAUUUAAUAUAUGACUUUAUAUAUAAUUAAAAUCACAUACAACACAAUUCUACAUUGGUAUUUUGUACAUCAUUAUGGAGAAUAUUCAGUAUUUUCUAUUUAUGCUUAUACAUGUAUAGUUUAUUUUUUUCUUUAUCAGCAAUAAUUUUCAAAAACACAUACAGUUUCAGAAAAACAAAAGCGGGUUACAUCUAUAAAAGUGUUUCAAGUUUCACUAUUUUAAAUAGCGAGGAAAAUUAUACAAAUAAAAUUUUUGACAUUAA